rnacentral:rRNA from 1 species
CCUACGGGAGGCAGCAGUGGGGGAUAUUGCACAAUGGGGGAAACCCUGAUGCAGCGACGCCGCGUGUGGGAAGACGAUCUUCUGGAUUGUAAACCACUGUCCCCAGGGACGAAAAUGACGGUACCUGGGGAGGAAGCGCCGGCCAACUACGUGCCAGCAGCCGCGGUAAUACGUAGGGAGCAAGCGUUGGCCGGAAUUACUGGGUGAAAAGGGAGCGUAGGCGGGGAUGCAAGUUGGGUGUCAAAACUACCGGCUCAACCGAUAGUCGCACUCAAAACUGCAACUCUUGAGUGAAGUAGAGGCAGGCGGAAUGCCUAGUGUAGCGGUGAAAUGCGUAGAUAUUAGGAGGAACACCAGUGGCGAAGGCGGCCUGCUGGGCUUUUACUGACGCUGAGGCUCGAAAGUGUGGGGAGCAAACAGGAUUAGAUACCCGUGUAGUC